AACAUAAAUUAGCAUUUUUAAGAACUUGACUUCUGUAGAAAUCUCAACAAAGAAUGCGCCUCAUGGAUUUUCCAAUGCAAAAAAAUGUAUAAAAACUGCAAUCGUUUCUGAAAAUUCAUCAGUGAAACUUUUAAGUUGAACAGAAAACAUAAUAAAAAACUUCAGUAUGAAAUUCGUUGCAUUUGGAUUCUUGCUUGCCAUGAUCUUGGCUCUCUUUGCCAAUACUCUGGCUAAUCCUCAAGAUUAUCUUACUCCAGAAGAUCCACGUCAUCAU